UAUCUAUUAAAAGGUCCAAUAUGUGCAUUUUCUAUGUUCGUGAUGUUUUCAGUAUGUACACACUUUCAGCAACCAGAAAGAGGAAUUACCCAUAGACGAAUCACCCAUAGACGAAUUACCCAAAGACGAAUUACCCAGAGAUAAAUUACCCAUAGACGAAUUACCCAUAGCCGAAUUACCCACAGAUGAAAUAACAUUACCAAC
rnacentral:lncRNA from 1 species